CUAACUUCGUGCCAGCAGCCGCGGUAAUACGAAGGGUGCUAGCGUUGUUCGGAAUUACUGGGCGUAAAGCGCGCGUAGGCGGCUUAUUAAGUCAGAGGUGAAAUCCCUGGGCUCAACCCAGGAAUUGCCUUUGAAACUACUAAGCUUGAGUACUGGAGGGGAUAGCGGAAUUCCUAAUGUAGAGGUGAAAUUCGUAGAUAUUAGGAGGAACACCGGUGGCGAAGGCGGCUAUCUGGACAGUAACUGACGCUGAGGCGCGAAAGCGUGGGGAUCAAACAGGAUUAGAUACCCUGGUAGUCCACGCUGUAAACGAUGGGUGCUAGCCGUUGGGGGGUUACCUCUCAGUGGCGUAGCUAACGCGUUAAGCACCCCGCCUGGGGAGUACGGUCGCAAGAUUAAAACUCAAAGAAAUUGACGGGGACCCGCACAAGCGGUGGAACAUGUGGUUUAAUUCGAGGCAACGCGAAGAACCUUACCAGCUUUUGAC
rnacentral:rRNA from 1 species